GCGUUUGUGGUUUAGUGGUAAAAUCCAUCGUUGCCAUCAAUCUCUCUUCACCAGAAGAAAGUUGAACAACGUCGAUGGGCCCCGGGUUCGAUUCCCGGCGAACGCA
rnacentral:tRNA from 1 species